rnacentral:rRNA from 1 species
UACGGGGGGGGGCAAGCGUUGUUCGGAAUUACUGGGCGUAAAGGGCUCGUAGGCGGCCAACUAAGUCCGACGUGAAAUCCCCAGGCUUAACCUGGGAACUGCGUCGGAUACUGGAUGGCUUGAAUUCGGGAGAGGGAUGCAGAAUUCCAGGUGUAGCGGUGAAAUGCGUAGAUAUCUGGAGGAAUACCGGUGGCGAAGGCGGCAUCCUGGACCGACAUUGACGCUGAGGAGCGAAAAGCUAGGGGGAGCAAACGGGG